rnacentral:rRNA from 1 species
AACGAACGCUGGCGGCAUGCCUAACACAUGCAAGUCGAACGAGACCUUCGGGUCUAGUGGCGCACGGGUGCGUAACACGUGGGAAUCUGCCCUUUGCUUCGGAAUAACAGUUAGAAAUGACUGCUAAUACCGGAUGAUGUCGAAAGACCAAAGAUUUAUCGGCAAAGGAUGAGCCCGCGUAGGAUUAGGUGGUUGGUGGGGUAAAGGCCUACCAAGCCGACGAUCCUUAGCUGGUCUGAGAGGAUGAUCAGCCACACUGGGACUGAGACACGGCCCAGACUCCUACGGGAGGCAGCAGUGGGGAAUAUUGGGCAAUGGGCGAAAGCCUGAUCAAGCCAUGCCGCGUGAGUGAUGAAGGCCUUAGGGUUGUAAAGCUCUUUUACCAGGGAUGAUAAUGACAGUACCUGGAGAAUAAGCUCCGGCUAACUCCGUG